CUCAGGCCAUGCAUCCAUUCAACCUGCUUCAAGCAUGUCUAUUUCUUACCUUUCUUAGGCAAGGAAAGUUCUCGAGGAGGCCAAAGAAGACGCUUUGCUACAUCACGCUGCUUGUAAUUUUAAGAAAAUCCCUGGUAAAAUGUAUCACUUAUAUCGUCGUAACACUGGCACAUCUUAUUUCUCAAUGAUUUCACCUGAGGUAU